GUGGAGGUAGUAUUCUGGUUUUAUUUUCGGUUCUGUCAAAUGUAAGCUUUGCUAACUUUUUGGAGGAUUUGUAAGUUUUAUUCAGGAUGUCUGGUCGACCAAAUCGCCAUAGCCGAAAGCCUUCUGUCGGUCUGCCUUCGCAAUUCUUGGCGGAGAAGCUGCCGGAUUUGGGAAAGCCCGCGCCAUGCCCGCCGGACGCUCAUGACGAUUCGGCUUCGCCUUUGCCGAAUUCUCCGGCUGCGCCUGUUCAAGGAUCCGGUCAGAGUAUAAGCAAGCCUCCUGUUCCCGAGAGCUCCCCGCCACAGUCAUAGAUGCAGUCAGAUCUCUCCGUCGAACUCUCUUUUGUUGCGAAUUUCGGAAAUGGAGCAGGUUUCCUGGAACACAGAGGGUUUUGGAUUCUGCUUUUUAAAUUUCAGAAAAACAAAUAGUGUGUUUGUGUAGUUGCUCUUAAUUGUGUAGUUGCUUUGCAAAGUUUUGAAUAAAAAUCCAGAAAGAUUUCAAAAA